rnacentral:rRNA from 1 species
GAGCAGUUGGCUAGUGCUAGAGUUGCUCCUGGCUCAGUAACGUCUGCCUCAAGGGAUCCGAAGAGUCUAGCGGCGGACGGGUGAGUAAUGCAUAGGAAUCUGCCCGGUAGUGGGGGAUAACUUGGGGAAACUCAAGCUAAUACCGCAUACGCCCCAAGGGGGAAAGCAGGGGAUCUUCGGACCUUGCGCUAUCGGAUGAGCCUAUGUCGGAUUAGUUAGUUGGUGAGGUAAUGGCUCACCAAGACCGCGAUCCGUAGCUGGUCUGAGAGGAUGAUCAGCCACACUGGGACUGAGACACGGCCCAGACUCCUACGGGAGGCAGCAGUGGGGAAUAUUGGACAAUGGGCGAAAGCCUGAUCCAGCCAUGCCGCGUGUGUGAAGAAGGCCUUCGGGUUGUAAAGCACUUUCAGCGAGGAAGAAGGCCUGACGGUUAAUACCUGUCAGGAAGGACAUCACUCGCAGAAGAAGCACCGGCUAACUCCGUGCCAGCAGCCGCGGUAAUACGGAGGGUGCAAGCGUUAAUCGGAAUUACUGGGCGUAAAGCGCGCGUAGGUGGCUUGAUAAGCCGGUUGUGAAAGCCCCGGGCUCAACCUGGGAACUGCAUCCGGAACUGUCAGGCUAGAGUGCAGGAGAGGAAGGUAGAAUUCCCGGUGUAGCGGUGAAAUGCGUAGAGAUCGGGAGGAAUACCAGUGGCGAAGGCGGCCUUCUGGACUGACACUGACACUGAGGUGCGAAAGCGUGGGUAGCAAACAGGAUUAGAUACCCUGGUAGUCCACGCCGUAAACGAUGUCGACUAGCCGUUGGGAGCCUCGAGUUCUUAGUGGCGCAGUUAACGCAAUAAGUCGACCGCCUGGGGAGUACGGCCGCAAGGUUAAAACUCAAAUGAAUUGACGGGGGCCCGCACAAGCGGUGGAGCAUGUGGUUUAAUUCGAUGCAACGCGAAGAACCUUACCUACUCUUGACAUCGUGCGAACUUUCCAGAGAUGGAUUGGUGCCUUCGGGAACGCACAGACAGGUGCUGCAUGGCUGUCGUCAGCUCGUGUUGUGAAAUGUUGGGUUAAGUCCCGUAACGAGGGCAACCCUAUCCUUAUUUGCCAGCGAGUAAUGUCGGGAACUCUAAGGAGACUGCCGGUGACAACCGGAGGAAGGGGGGGAUGACGUCAAGUCAUCUGGCCCUUACAAUAGGGCUACACCGGGCUACAUGGCAGGUCCAAGGGUCCAAAAGGGGACUGGAAUUAUCCCUAAAACCUGCCCACCCGGAUCGAAUUGCACCCACCCCGGAAGCGAAUCCUU